rnacentral:rRNA from 2 species
AGGAGCACGCCGCGUGAGUGAUGAAGGGUUUCGGCUCGUAAAACUCUGUUGUUAAAGAAGAACAAGUGUUAGAGUAACUGUUAACACUUUGACGGUAUUUAACCAGAAAGCCACGGCUAACUACGUGCCAGCAGCCGCGGUAAUACGUAGGUGGCAAGCGUUGUCCGGAUUUAUUGGGCGUAAAGCGAGCGCAGGCGGUUUUGUAAGUCUGCUGUGAAAGCCCUCAGCUCAACUGAGGAAGUGCAGUGGAAACUACAAAACUUGAGUACAGAAGAGGAAAGUGGAACUCCAUGUGUAGCGGUGAAAUGCGUAGAUAUAUGGAAGAACACCAGUGGCGAAGGCGGCUUUCUGGUCUGUUACUGACGCUGAGGCUCGAAAGCAUGGGUAGCGAACAGGAUUAGAUACCCUGGUAGUCCAUGCCGUAAACGAUGAAUACUAGGUGUUGGAGGGUUUCCGCCCUUCAGUGCCGCAGCUAACGCAUUAAGUAUUCCGCCUGGGGAGUACGACCGCAAGGUUGAAACUCAAAGGAAUUGACGGGGGCCCGCACAAGUGGUGGAGCAUGUGGUUUAAUUCGAUGCUACGCGAAGAACCUUACCAGCUCUUGACAUCUUCUGCCAACCCAAGAGAUUGGGCGUUCCCUUCGGGGACAGAAUGACAGGUGGUGCAUGGUUGUCGUCAGCUCGUGUCGUGAGAUGUUGGGUUAAGUCCCGCAACGAGCGCAACCCUUAUUAUUAGUUGCCAGCAUUUAGUUGGGCACUCUAGUGAGACUGCCGGUGAUAAACCGGAGGAAGGUGGGGACGACGUCAAAUCAUCAUGCCCCUUAUGAGCUGGGCUACACACGUGCUACAAUGGAUGGUACAACGAGUCGCGAAACCGCGAGGUCAAGCUAAUCUCUUAAAGCCAUUCUCAGUUCGGAUUGCAGGCUGCAACUCGCCUGCAUGAAGUUGGAAUCACUAGUAAUCGUGGAUCAGCAUGCCC